rnacentral:sRNA from 1 species
AAAAGAAGAGCCGGUCCUGAAGCUCACAACAGUAACAGCCACCAGACAAGGUUCAGCGGCCGGCCCUUCACAUCCAGACUUGCCUGAGAGGACCCACCUCUGGGUGUCCAGUGGUCAGUUGCCCCAGGAUGGGGACCACAGCCAGAGCAGCCUUGGUCUUGACCUAUUUGGCCGUUGCUUCGGCUGCCUCUGAGGGAGGCUUCAAGGCUACAGGGCAGAGGCAGCUGAGGCCAGAGCACUUUCAAGAAGGUAAGAGUUUGGGGGAGCAGCAUGGGAUUGGGACUCCAGGAGGCACUGUGGGCUCUGAUGUCUCCCCUCUUGCCUCUAGUUGGCUACGCAGCUCCCCCCUCCCCACCCCUAUCCCGAAGCCUCCCCAUGGAUCACCCUGACACCUCUCAGCAUGGCCCUCCCUUUGAGGGACAGAGUCAAGGUAAGGUCACCACCCCAUGCCCUCCUCAGUGACCCUCCAGGUUUCUAAUCUGGCCUACAUCCCACUUUUCAGGUGGAAAGGAGGGAAGAGGCCCUCACCCCCUCUCCCAGCCCUGGCUAGGAGAAAGGGUGGGCUGCUCACACAUUCCCCCUUCUAUAGUGCAGCCCCCUCCCUCUCAGGAGGCUACCCCUCUCCAACAGGAAGAGCUGCUACCUGCCCAGCUCCCUGCUGAAAAGGAAGUGGGUCCCCCUCUCCCUCAGGAAGCUGUCCCCCUCCAAAGAGAGCUGCCCUCUCUCCAGCACCCCAAUGAACAGAAGGAAGGAAUGCCAGCUCCAUCUGGGGACCAGAGCCAUCCAGAACCUGAGUCCUGGAAUGCAGCCCAGCACUGCCAACAGGGCCGGUCCCAAGGGGGCUGGGGCCACCGGCUGGAUGGCUUCCCCCCUGGGCGGCCUUCUCCAGACAAUCUGAACCAAAUCUGCCUUCCUAACCGUCAGCAUGUGGUAUAUGGUCCCUGGAACCUACCACAGUCCAGCUACUCCCACCUCACUCGCCAGGGUGAGACCCUCAAUUUCCUGGAGAUUGGAUAUUCCCG